GGCCGCCCCCAGGGAGCCGGCAGGAUGGCCGAGGGCAAGACAGGCGGUGUCGCGGGCCUCUUCGCCAAGCAGGUGCAGAAGACGCUCAACCGGGCCCAGGAGAAGGUAGGCGGUCGGAGCCCGGGCCCGAGGUCCGACUCGGCGACAAGGCCUGCAGGUGCUCUGGGCCCGGGAGGCUGGUGUCUGGCUUCCCCCGGGAAACGUGAGUGGGGAGUGGGUGUCCACGAAAACAGCCAGAUGGACGAGAAGGCAGAGCCUCGCCGCCGGGUCUUGAGCAGGGACCGGGGAGCGCAGGAGACCCCCGCCAACGCCCUCUCGGGAACCUUAAACGAUGCCUAGAAGAAGCGAAGGAAAGGGACGAACGUUGGCCACUGCUGGAUGAUGAAAUUGAAGGUUCAAAGAGGGUCAUUUCCCAGAGUUAUGAGACAGUGCUGACCAGCUGGGCUGCCAGCGAGCACUACCCGUUAGCUGAGCUGGGGAGUCUACAUAAUUGUGCAUGAUUUUCUCUCUACCUGGGCCGGCCGCGAGUGUUGCUUAAACUGAUGUAAGCAGAAGCGGUGUCUGCUUCCUGUGCUUUCCCUGGCAUUGGAGAGUCCCGGGUUCAAGGUGGGGAAGGAGCACCUCUUUCUGCGUUGUGUCCUAGUUUAGCUCUGGCCCGCCCAGCUCCGUUUACGUAGGCUGUCUGUCCACCUCUUACUUGCCUACCUAUGUUGAUUUGCAAACCCUGCUGCACGUAUUGCAGUGGCUUUUUUUUUUUUUUUUUAAGGGCCACACCCUUGACUUAUGGAGGUUCCCAGGCCAGGGGUUGAAUUGGAGCUAUAGCUGCUGGCGUGCGCAACAGCCACAGCAACGCAAGAUCCAAGCCGCGUCUUCAACCUGCACCACAGCUCACGGCAACACUAGAUCCUUAACCCACUGAGUGAGGCCAGGGAUCGAACCCUUGUCCUCAUGGAUACUAGUCGGGCUUGUUAACUGCUGAGCCAAGACAGAAGCUCAUGCAGUGGCAUUCUUGUUUCCACCUGUCCAAAGUAUUUUCUUUGUUUCCAACCUGAACCUCUGCACUCCACUUACUAACACUCUGGCGGGUGAGAUGGUACCCGAAAAUGAAUAGGCUGGAAGGAAAAGGGGAGGGAGAGAGAGAGAGAUGAGAAGGACCUGAGAGAGAAUUUUCAUUUUCUAAGACUUCAUGGUCUUAGAAGCAUUUGGAUGAAUAAGUCCUGCUGAAGAAUUAAAACAUUUGUACCAUCUUCUAAAAGCAGAGCACUAAAGCACUAACUUCAGUGCUGGGAAGGGUUAAAGACAACCAGCUGUCCCAAGUGGAAUUAGCAGAGAAUCGAUGGACCAUAGAUGCAGUCCCUAUCUUUAGGAGGCUCAUAAUGGAAGGGGAACGAGGAAUUCAUGUAUAUGUGUGUGUGUAUAUUUUUCUUUUCUUUGUCUGAGGAAGUUGGGGUCAUGUGAACGAGCAGAGGAAAAGGAGAAGUUUUGUGUGUGGCUAGACUUUGUUAUUCCACCUUACCCUAACUUCACCUUAAUCAAGGUUUCAGCCUCUCCCAAGGCUGUCUAGUUACACAUCUGAUCGAGAGCACAGCCUACGGGAAGGUCUAGUUAAAGUAGUUGUGGGAGUUCCCGUCAUGGCGCAUCGGAAACAAAUCUGACUAGGAACCAUGAGGUUGCGGGUUCAAUCCACGACCUCGCUCAGUGGGUUAAGGAUCUGGCGUUGCUGUGACCUGUGGUGAAGGUCGCAGACGUGGCUCGGAUCUGGUGUGGCUGUGGCGUAGGCUGGCAGCUAUAGCUCUGACUGGACCCCUAGCCUGGGAACCUCCAUAUGCCGAAGGUGUGGCCCUAAAAGGACAAAAGACAAAAAAAAAAAAAAAAAAGAAAGAAAGAAAUACUUGUGGAGGAAGAGGAGAAGGCUAGCUGCUCUAUGGCUUGGAAAAACAAAGAGAUCCUCAGUGACCAAAAACUUGUGGAUAAUAGUUAUUUCUAAAAGACACAGCAAUUGAUUUUACCCCACUCUUACCUUCUACUCUCAUCCAGCCUAUCAACAGUAAUCCCCACUUGAGUUGCCGUGGAGGCAUGGGUUCAAUCCCCAGCCCAGCUCAAUGGGUUAAAGGAUCCGGCAUUGCUGCCGCUGUGGUGUAGCUCAUAGCUGCAGCUCGGAUUCAGCCCCUGGCCCAGGAACGUCCAUAGGCUGUGGGUGUGGCCAUUAAAAACAAACAAAAAAACCACUAUGCCCUGACUUUUUCUAAGUACUCUCUUUUUCUCAGCAUGGACUCUGAAGCCUUAAGUAAAAACGUUCCUGUCCUAGGCUUCAGAGUCUGUAAAACAAGACAGUUGAUGUUCACUGAUUUGGAAACUUAGUUUGAUAAGGACACCAGAGUGAGGAGAGGAGGAGACUCCUCCAGCCUCAGAGUCAAAUACUUGCCAAAGAGAGAACCAGCCACUCAGGUACACCCUCGUCUUCCCAGUCUGAAGGCUGAGAAGGCAGAGAGAGGAAAAAGCUCCCAUGGGCCCAAAGGAACCCCCAGGUUGUUGCAGAAACCAAGAUACUCUAAACCCAGACUUAGACACAAGGGCAGACGGACAUUGAACUUGGAGCAGUACAGCUGGUAACCUAGAGGUGAUGGGUGUCGCCUAAUAGGAUGGGAGUGGCCGGGGUUGGGAGUAAGAGCUCAGCUCAGCCAACCCGAGUUCUGGAGUCUUGGGAAGUUAAUGGAAGGCAAGAUAAAGAGGGAGAAGGUUGGGAUUCUCUUGUGGCGCAGUGGGUUAAGGAUCCAGCGUUGUCCCUGCGGUGGCUUGGAUUGCUACUGUGGAACAGGUUCAGUCCUUGGCCCGGGAACUUCCACGUGCCAUGGAUGUGG
rnacentral:lncRNA from 1 species